UCUUACCGUUCCAUUCUGUUGGUCCUGUCUGUGGUUCUGUGGCUCCGUUUUCCUUGCUUUGGGGCAUGAUUUCCAAACUGACUUUUUUAAAAUUUGGGUUUGUAUCUCCUGAGGUUGAAGAAGCCUUUCUGAUUAAUGGGCCUAAGUAAUAGAGUAGGAGAAAAUAUUAGCUAACUCAAAGAAAUCAAUAUUAAGAUUACAAAAUUAUUCCAACACUAAUUGAUGUGGUACCGAUGACCAGAGACCGUAUUUCCGAAAGCUUGGCUGCAGGCACAUGAGAGAUGAACACAGUGACGGGUUCACCACAAUAUAUGGCUUCUGGGAAGAGCUACACAAAUAUUUGUUUAACAAAGGAAUACAAACAGAUGGGCCAGAGUUGAACCAGACACUGUGUGUGGAGAGCGGUAGAGCUGGAGAGGCAUU